AAUCAGAGAGGUGCGGGGGGAUGCCUUAAUCGACAUCGGCGCCCAGGGAACAGUGGGUUAACUGCCUUGCUUAGGGGCAGGAUGACAGAUUUUUACCUUGUCAGCUGAGAGAGAGAGAGAGAGAGAGAGAGAGAGAGAGAGAGAGAGAGAGAGAGAGAGAGAGAGAGAGAGAGAGAGAGAGAGAGAGACAGAGAGACAGAGAGACUCUAAACUACUGAGAGGUGUUCAGCCAUUGAGAGCAGGAGAAUUGGCAUCAUGACGCUUGAAGCUACAGUCAUGUUCUCGUCCUGGCAAACUAUCCUAAACUCUUCUACUACUCCAGCUAUCUCAACUACAACCGUGGAGGAAUGUCAAAGUGGACUGGAUAGGAUCCGGAAGGAAUGACAGUUUUAUGACCUCAAAGAACAUGUUGAGAUCGUCAUCAUGUUGACUGGUGUUCUAGCCAACGCUGCUCUGCUGUGGCUGCAGCUGAAGGGUUGGAAGGUUCUGUCUGCAUCUAAGGUGUUGGUGGUAAUCUCCUGUCUACCCGCUCAGAAGCCCCAGAUAGAGACUGUCCCCAUGAGAUGAGAUCUGCUAUCCAUUCCCAUUCAACAUCCAUGAUGCUCUUCAGCCCCUCUCAGCCCCAUUCAGUCCCAGUCAGUUGCCUGCCUUACGGUCCCCUUUGAAAUGACCUUAUCUCUGUCUUCCAGGCUGACCCUGGCUAGAGGGCCUUUUCCACAUUAAACAGAGAAAACCUAUUAUCCUACUGUUACUGGAGACAGUCAGUCUGUCAAUCAAACACAGGCCAUGGACCAUCAUGAGACAGUCUGGUUUGCUAACUGUACUCUCUAAGCCUUUCUCAGUGGUAGCAUGUGACAUGUGUACAUGAGCUGCAUCACCACGGCCAACACGUCUAGCUAGAGAGACGUCUCGUGUGUUUGCGUAGGCAGGUGCCAUAGGCAUCUUGGCAACCGUGAUUUCGUGUCACUGAUCUAGACACAUUACCCCAUGGUGUCAAAGUGGAAUUGUAUUUUCAUAUUUGUUUACAAAUGAAUAAAAAAUGAAAAGCUG
ensembl:lncRNA